rnacentral:rRNA from 1 species
CAGCAGCCACGGUAAUACGGAGGGCGCGAGCGUUACCCGGAUUUACUGGGCGUAAAGGGCGUGUAGGCGGCCUGGGGCGUCCCAUGUGAAAGGCCACGGCUCAACCGUGGAGGAGCGUGGGAUACGCUCAGGCUAGAGGGUGGGAGAGGGUGGUGGAAUUCCCGGAGUAGCGGUGAAAUGCGCAGAUACCGGGAGGAACGCCGAUGGCGAAGGCAGCCACCUGGUCCACUUCUGACGCUGGGGCGCGAAAGCGUGGGGAGCAAACCGGAUUAGAUACCCGUGUAGUCCCUGUCUCUUAUAC